UUUACCUACGGGGGGCAGCAGUGAGGAAUAUUGGUCAAUGGCCGGAAGGCUGAACCAGCCAAGCCGCGUGAAGGACGAAGGUGCCAAGCAUUGUAAACUUCUUUUGUCAAGGGACAAAAUCAGGCUCGAGAGCCUGACCGAGGGUACUUGAAGAAAAAGCAUCGGCUAACUCCGUGCCAGCAGCCGCGGUAAUACGGAGGAUGCGAGCGUUAUCCGGAUUUACUGGGUGUAAAGGGAGCGCAGACGGCUGUGCAAGUCUGGAGUGAAAGGCGGGGGCCCAACCCCCGGACUGCUCUGGAAACUGU
rnacentral:rRNA from 1 species